GAGACUCUGUGCGCGUGCAUAUCAAUAAGCGGAGGAAAAGAAACUAACAAGGAUUCCCCUAGUAACGGCGAGUGAAGCGGGAAGAGCUCAAAUUUGAAAUCUUAAAGGGUUUCCCUUUACGAAUUGUAGUUUAAAGAAGUGUUUUCUGUUGGAGUUUCGGUAAAAGUUCUUUGGAAUAGGACAUCAUAGAGGGUGAGAAUCCCGUACUUGACCGUUACUUUCCAGCUGUGUGAUACACUUUCAAAGAGUCGGAUUGUUUGGGAAUGCAGUCCAAAAUGGGUGGUAAAUUUCAUCUAAAGCUAAAUAUUGGCGAGAGACCGAUAGCGAACAAGUACCGUGAGGGAAAGAUGAAAAGAACUUUGAAAAGAGAGUUAAACAGUACGUGAAAUUGUCAAAAGGGAAGCGUUUGACACCAGUGUUGUUUAGUUGAAAAUCAAUUCAAUAAUUUUUGAUUUUGAGUAGUAUUGACUUCAUCAGCUUGCUGCUUUCUUUUCCGGAAAUUAUUGAAUGCACUUUUCAGUUAACAAGUCAACAUCAAUUUCUUUUGUUGUAAAAGGGUAAGAGGAAGGUGGCUUACGCUUUCGGCGUAAGUGUUUAUAGCCUUUUAGCCUCUGCAAUCGGAGAGAUUGAGGACAUGCAGCGUAGACUCCUUCGGGGGUUAGAUACACUUGUGCUAAGCUAUAGCCUUGUAUAGACAACUUGUUGACUAUGCUCAGUCAUGUAGCUUACUCGCUUGUGCUAUUUUACCUACGCUUAGGAUGUUGACAGCAGUAUAGACUGU
rnacentral:rRNA from 1 species